ensembl:lncRNA
CUUCCUUCUGUUUCUGAUGGAUCUCUUAUAUUCUGGAUUUGGAGUAUAGUUGAAAUGUCUAGGCUUGAUUGUUGGGAGAAAGGCACUGUCACGUUAGAGUGUGUGAAACAUGGGUCUCUAAGAAGGUAUGAUUAGCUUCCACUUUCUCAGUCCUUGGCAACAAGGCCAAGAAGAAGGGGAAAGUGGAUUAAUCCUUUAAAAAAGCAUAGAAGAAGAGGUUAGAAAAGUUAGAAAGGUCAAGUGUCUUGGAAACUUUGAGUGGGAAGUCCAUCAUUUUAUCUUUAGGACACAAGGUAAUGAUGGUGAUGAUGACAAUGGUCAUGAUGAUGAUGAUGAUGAUGGUGAUGAUGAUGAUGAUGUACUAUGAUCACAUAAAAGCCUUUCAUCUGCAGGCUCAAAGUGCAACACAACCACUAAUUAAUCCUGAAGGCAAGGUAGGCAAAUAUCAUUACCUCCAAUUUGCAAACUAGGAAUCCAGGCAGGAGGAAAUUAAACCCUUAACCAAGGUCAUCUCAGAGUGAAGACUAGAAAUGAAAUGAAGAGUCCCUGCCUCCUUACUUUCCACUGGCCACCUCAAAGGUGGCUACCGAAGGGCUUGCUUUUAUUCCACAGGCAGAGCCAGCUCCUUGCUGCAUCUGACCCUUUUCUUUACAGAGUUCAGUGAGGGCAGGGGAGAGACCUUAUAGACCUCCACUACAGACUGGUUUUGAGAACUGCCACAUCUCCAACCAUGGAAGCAGAAGUGUGGAAGGCUGAAGGAGUGAAGGGCCUGAUGUGCUUCCCAUCUUUCUACCUCUGGCAGUCACUGUAGGGCUACAUGCUAAAGAUGGCAAAGCUAAAGAACGUAUGUUCCUGUGUCCCCCACUUGGCAGGGAAUCACCAAGUAACAUCCACAUUAGACUUCAGGUCUACAGGUGUGGAUGAGAAACAUCUGGCCAGGAAACCAGGCUGCCAGAAUCCCCGGAGUAAGGGCACUCAGCCACACCAUCAGGAAAGAGGAAGCUCCUCAGCAGUAUUCUGGCCAGCACUCAAAUUCUUCAAGUUUGCAAACCAGGGAACUGCUUCAUGCACCUGCCCUGCCAAGGGUCUUCACAAUGAGGAAGAUUACAUCUCUGAUUUCCCAAUCCUUUAUGAGACCAGAGGCUGACAGCAGCGGGAUGCAACGUCCUUUUCCUCUUUUUGAAGCUCUCUACGGGAUUUUAUUUUGCUCAACAAACAUUUAAUGAGUCCAGGGAACUGGUGUAGCAGAGUCAGUUAAAGCCAUGGGCUUCUGGCUCAACAGAUCUAGGUUUGAUCUCGCCUGAUCUUAUUACUUUGGGAAACUCACAACCUCUCUAAGCUUUGGUUUCCUCACAUGAUUUUCUGUGAGGUUUAGGUUUAGGGGAGAUAAUGACGCAAAAUGCCCCAUAGGAGUAACUGAGGGUGCUGCUCACUGCUCAUUAACAUCCUUUAUCUUCAGAUAUAUAUAUAUAUAUAUAUAUAUAUAUAUAUAUAUAUAUAUAUAUAUAUAUAUAUAUAUAUAUAUAUAUAUAUAUAUAUAUAUAUAUAUAUAU